UCUUCUUGUUUUUAAAGACCUAGCAAUAGGUAUGCUUAGGGAGGAGCUUGCGUCACAUUAGUUAGUUGGUGGGGUAAAGGCCUACCAAGACUAUGAUGUGUAGCCGGGCUGAGAGGUUGAACGGCCACAUUGGGACUGAGACACGGCCCAAACUCCUACGGGAGGCAGCAGUAGGGAAUUUUCGGCAAUGGAGGAAACUCUGACCGAGCAACGCCACGUGAACGAUGAAGUAUUUCGGUACGUAAAGUUCUUUUAUUAGGGAAGAAUAAAUGAUGGAAAAAUCAUUCUGACGGUACCUAAUGAAUAAGCCCCGGCUAACUAUGUGCCAGCAGCCGCGGUAAUACAUAGGGGGCAAGCGUUAUCCGGAAUUAUUGGGCGUAAAGGGUGCGUAGGCGGUUAAAUAAGUUUAUGGUCUAAGUGCAAUGCUCAACAUUGUGAUGCUAUAAAAACUGUUUAGCUAGAGUAAGAUAGAGGCAAGUGGAAUUCCAUGUGUAGUGGUAAAAUGCGUAAAUAUAUGGAGGAACACCAGUAGCGAAGGCGGCUUGCUGGGUCUUUACUGACGCUGAGGCACGAAAGCGUGGGGAGCAAACAGGAUUAGAUACCCUGGUAGUCCACGCCGUAAACGAUGAGUACUAAACGUUGGGUAAAACCAGUGUUGAAGUUAACACAUUAAGUACUCCGCCUGAGUAGUACGUACGCAAGUAUGAAACUUAAAGGAAUUGACGGGACUCCGCACAAGCGGUGGAUCAUGUUGUUUAAUUCGAAGGUACCCGAAAAACCUCACCAGGUCUUGACAUGCUUCUGCAAAGCUGUAGAAACACAGUGGAGGUUAUCAGUUGCACAGGUGGUGCAUGGUUGUCGUCAGCUCGUGUCGUGAGAUGUUGGGUUAAGUCCCGCAACGAGCGCAACCCUUAUUGUUAGUUACCAGCACGUAAUGGUGGGGACUUUAGCAAGACUGCCAGUGAUAAAUUGGAGGAAGGUGGGGACGACGUCAAAUCAUCAUGCCCCUUAUGACCUGGGCUACAAACGUGAAACAAUGGCUGUUACAAAGGGUAGCUGAAGCGCAAGUUUUUGGCGAAUCUCAAAAAAACAGUCUCAGUUCGGAUUGAAGUCUGCAACUCGACUUCAUGAAGUUGGAAUCGCUAGUAAUCGCGAAUCAG
rnacentral:rRNA from 1 species